UAAUACAGAGGUCCCAAGCGUUGUUCGGAUUCACUGGGCGUAAAGGGUGCGUAGGUGGUGGGGUAAGUCGGAUGUGAAAGCUCGGAGCUCAACUCCGAAAUGGCAUUGGAAACUACCCUGCUAGAGGAUUGGAGGGGGGACUGGAAUACUUGGUGUAGCAGUGAAAUGCGUAGAUAUCAAGUGGAACACCAGUGGCGAAGGCGAGUCCCUGGACAAUACCUGACACUGAGGCACGAAAGCUAGGGGAGCAAACAGGAUUAGAUACCCUGGUAGUCCUAGCCGUAAACGGUGCACGUUUGCUGUAAAAGGAAUCGACCCCUUUUGUGGCGUAGCUAACGCGUUAAACGUGCCGCCUGGGAAGUACGGUCGCAAGAUUA
rnacentral:rRNA from 1 species